rnacentral:rRNA from 1 species
UACGGGGGGGGGGCAAGCGUUGUUCGGAAUUACUGGGCGUAAAGGGCGCGUAGGCGGCCUUCUAAGUCAGACGUGAAAUCCCCCCGGCUUAACCUGGGAACUGCGUCUGAUACUGGGGGGGCUUGAGUAUGGGAGAGGGAUGUAGAAUUCCAGGUGUAGCGGUGAAAUGCGUAGAUAUCUGGAGGAAUACCGGUGGCGAAGGCGGCAUCCUGGACCAUUACUGACGCUGAGGCGCGAAAGCUAGGGGAGCAAACGGG